rnacentral:lncRNA from 1 species
AAGCAACAAAUUCAUGUACUUCCACAAUAUUAGUAAAAUAAGUACAAAAUCUGCUGGAUAGUACACAAAAGAACUAAGCAAACCAGAGUAGGAGGGGUAGAUGGUUGUGACAUCAAAAACCAAAAACUUUUAGUGGAAUUAAAAGUUACUCUCGAAGUAAAUGGAGAUCGGUCUAACCGGACCGUCCAGAUAACUGUGGUUUGACCGUCGAUCGGUCUGACCACUUCCCUGCAUUGGUGCUGCCUGUCACCGCCGUUGGUCCAAUCCAACCGGUGCCUUGCUGUUGAUCUGACCGCUUAUAACAAUGUCACUGAUCUUGAAACUGAAGAAGGCCGUUCUCAUGUUGAUCCUGAGAGUUUUAUUUGCACUGGAAACCAUCACAAUUUAGUUCUUUGAUAUACUCAUCUUAAUGCUCUCCUUAAUUUACUCUUCCUUAAUUUACUCUUCGUUCUCUCUCUCAGAGAUGCACAGAUGUACGUACAGCCAGUGUCCUUUAAAAAAUAUAAUAGUAAUAAAAAAUGGAAAUGUUCAGACGUACAGCACCUGGAUUUUAUGAUCUUUGAGCAAACGAAUCGGCUUGGCUUCUUGUACAUUGGUUAUCCCCGCAUUCACUGUCAAUUGCAAACCAGGGAACAUAACUUUUUACAACAAAGAAAGAGAGAGAGAGAGAGAGUACUUAGCACAUGAUCCAUUUUUGGUAAGGCAAAUGUUCAUUGGUUAAAUUACUAACUGGACAAAAUAAAUCGACCUCAGAAAUUAUCCCCGCACCCACUUUCAAUGACAAACAAAAGAGAUAGUAAUUAGCACAAAAUGUUUUUUCGAUAAGGCAAAUAUUUAUUGGAUAAAUUACUAACUGGACAGAAUAAAUUGACAUCAGUUGUGCUCAGAUGUAUACAAAUUUAUGAAUUAAACCAUAUCGUAGUUAUAUGUCAAGGAACAAAUUUAUAUUACAUGGCCCAGAUACACAUUUAAAAUCUUAUUGUCACCCUUUUGCAGAUUCUGCAGCCUAGUGUGAAAAAUAGCAAACUUUCUGGGUUUGCCAUAUGAUAUUAUUUAGUAAAACAAUCUCACCUCGGAGAACGGGGCUUAUAUAUUUUUAGGCAAACAUUGACAAAAAAGAAUAAGAUCAUUUUUUUCUGUGGUGAGACAUAUAAGUAUUCAUGAAAAUCAUCAAGCAACGCAAUAAAUCUGCAUGACUCAGUCGUAGGCUGAAGCAAAAUCAGUAAGUAGAGCAAUAGAUAGCCUUCUAUUAUGCAAAAUUAGCCUGAUUGAUUCUGGACAAGUCUUAGGCUGAAGCAAAAUUCACCCUGAAGUAAUCCAUUGACCAGACAUCACAAAAACUGUUAUUAUCCCACAUGAACUACAUGGACCAGAUAGAGGGAGAGAGGUGAGAUGGUCGAUGAACAAAACCUGCAGGUGGAGCAGCAGCCUUCAGGUGGUGGGAGAAAUAUCCUGCCAGUGAAGUGGGUCAACCCAGAUCUGUGGCCAGCUGAAGCGGUGCAUGGCGAAGGUGGCUGCUGCUGCGGUGAUAGCGAGCCAUCUCGGCGGCGGUGCGGAGAAGUCAACUACAAACCUGGAUGCUGGAGAGGUGGGUGCCAAAGCAUUUUGCGCAUUUGACAAACAUCACAUUUCUGUGGUUCCUAGUCUAAUCUUUUAAAAACCUUUUAAAUCAUCUGCACAGAAAAUGAAUUUUCACACUGGGUUGCUGAAACGA